AGCGGGAAAACCGCAAGGAAGCCGGCGCUGCUCUGGAGGGAGAGUCUGUGCGGUGGCACCUGCGCGAAGCCGGCCAAAGCCUGCCCAGACUGCUCACCUGUGCGGGAUGGAACGAAAGGUGAGCCCAGGGGGCCUGAAAAAAUGACCUCAGUAGCCGCCUGUGGGAAGGGACCCUGAGGAGAGCACCACAGCGACUACCAAGCACAGGGUGUUGCUCUGUCGCCCA
rnacentral:sRNA from 1 species